rnacentral:tRNA from 1 species
UAGGAGGUGGUAUAGUGGAAGUACAAGGAGUUUUGGUCUCCUAGGGUCGGGUUCGAAUCCCGUCCUUCUAC